rnacentral:rRNA from 1 species
UGGGGAAUAUUGCGCAAUGGGCGAAAGCCUGACGCAGCGACGCCGCGUGAGGGAUGAAGGUUUUCGGAUCGUAAACCUCUGUCAGAAGGGAAGAAACCGCACUGUGCUAAUCAGCAGUGCCUUGACGGUACCUUCAAAGGAAGCACCGGCUAACUCCGUGCCAGCAGCCGCGGUAAUACGGAGGGUGCAAGCGUUAAUCGGAAUUACUGGGCGUAAAGCGCACGUAGGCUGCUUUGUAAGUCAGGGGUGAAAUCCCACGGCUCAACCGUGGAACUGCCUUUGGUACUGCUUAGCUUGAAUCCGGGAGAGGGUGGCGGAAUUCCAGGUGUAGGAGUGAAAUCCGUAGAUAUCUGGAGGAACAUCAGUGGCGAAGGCGGCCACCUGGACCGGUAUUGACGCUGAGGUGCGAAAGCGUGGGGAGCAAACAGG